rnacentral:tRNA from 1 species
GGGCGAUUAGCUCAGCUUUGGUUAGAGCGCUUCCUUGACAUGGAAGAGGCCACCCGUUCAAGUCGGGUAUCGCCCAUCA